rnacentral:rRNA from 1 species
UUGCCGGAUUAGCUGAGAGGUGGUGCAUGGCCGUCGUCAGUUCGUACUGUGAAGCAUCCUGUUAAGUCAGGCAACGAGCGAGACCCACGCCCACAGUUGCCAGCGUACUCUCCGGAGUGACGGGUACACUGUGGGGACCGCCGCUGCUAAAGCGGAGGAAGGAAUGGGCAACGGUAGGUCAGUAUGCCCCGAAUAUCCCGGGCUACACGCGAGCUACAAUGGUUGGUACAAUGGGUAUCUACCCCGAAAGGGGAUGGAAAUCUCCUAAAGCCAAUCUUAGUUCGGAUUGAGGGCUGCAACUCGCCCUCAUGAAGCUGGAAUCCGUAGUAAUCGCGUUUCAACAGAACGCGGUG